GAGUUUGAUCUUGGCUCAGGAUGAACGCUAGCUACAGGCCUAACACAUGCAAGUCGAGGGGAAACGGGAAGCAGCUUGCUGCUUUCUGUCGUCGACCGGCGCACGGGUGAGUAACGCGUAUCCAACCUUCCCAUAACGUAAGGGAUACCCCGUAGAAAUGCGGCCUAAUACCUUAUGUACUCCCAUGACGGCAUCAGAAUGGGAGCAAAGAUUUCGGUAUGGAUGGGGAUGCGUCUGAUUAGCUUUGCUGGCGGGGUAACGGCCACCAGGGCAUCGAUCAGUAGGGGUUCUGAGAGGAAGGUCCCCCACAUUGGAACUGAGACACGGUCC
rnacentral:rRNA from 1 species